rnacentral:rRNA from 1 species
UACAGAGGUCUCAAGCGUUGUUCGGAUUCAUUGGGCGUAAAGGGUGCGUAGGUGGCGGGGUAAGUCAGGUGUGAAAUCCUGGAGCUCAACUCCAGAACUGCCUUUGAUACUGAGAAGCUUGAGUCCGGGAGAGGUGAGUGGAACUGCGAGUGUAGAGGUGAAAUUCGUAGAUAUUCGCAAGAACACCAGUGGCGAAGGCGGCUAUCUGGACGGUUUCUGACACUAAGACUCGAAAGCGUGGGGAGCAAACAGG